AGGGGUACCAAUGGCAGCACAGAGCAUGUGCAUGAGCCGCCUCCAGCUAACAUGGAGAGUGGUAACGAUGUGUGCGGCUCUUUGGAGGAGUGGCUCCAUGCAUUGCCAACAAUCAAGGAGUUAGAGUUGCCCCCACACAUGCAAGUCAUAUAUAACAAGCACAAAGAGCUCCAUGCCAUAGAACUUAAUGUUGCGUUCAGCUCAUUUGGGAGGGUCUUGCAGGGCAUGUACUACAAGCGGAUGGGCCUAAUGUUGUCUGAGGCACACAAAGCUGAGUGUAACAUCCAUCAACAGAGAGCCAAAGGUGAAGGCAUCACUUUCAGUGUAUCAGGGGGGACUUCUACUGCAGGCACGUCUGACGGGGCUGCAACUGAACCUUUUCCGCAACAGCCCAAGCAUCCGGAGCAGCCCAACAUUCAUCCUGGCACACACGGGACUGCAUGCAUGGAUGAUGCCACUGCCACUGUACCAUCUCCGCAACAGCGAAUU
rnacentral:rRNA from 1 species